GACGAACGCUGGCGGCGUGCUUAACACAUGCAAGUCGAACGGGUCUGCCCUGUUUUUUGCGGGGUGGGUCAGUGGCGAACGGGUGAGUAACACGUGAGUAACCUGCCCCUCACUUCUGGAUAACCGCUUGAAAGGGUGGCUAAUACGGGGUGUUCUGGCUGUGCCGCAUGGUGUGGCUGGGAAAGAUUCACUUUUGUGGUGUUUUGGUGGGGGAUGGGCUCGCGGCCUAUCAGCUUGUUGGGGGGGUGAUGGCCUGCCAAGGCUUUGACGGGUAGCCGGCCUGAGGGGGUGGGCGGUCACACUGGGACUGAGAUACGGCCCAGACUCCGGCGGGAGGCAGCAGUGGGGGGUAUUGCACAAUGGGCGGAAGCCUGAUGCAGCGACGUCGCGUGAGGGAUGGAGGCCUUCGGGUUGUGAACCUCUUUCGCCGGUGAAGAAGGUCCUGCUCUUUGGGGUGGGGUUGACGGUAGCCGGGUUAUGAAGCGCCGGCUAACUACGUG
rnacentral:rRNA from 1 species